GAUGAACGCUAGCUACAGGCUUAACACAUGCAAGUCGAGGGGAAACGACAUCGAAAGCUUGCUUUUGAUGGGCGUCGACCGGCGCACGGGUGAGUAACGCGUAUCCAACCUGCCCAUCACUUGGGGAUAACCUUGCGAAAGUAAGACUAAUACCCAAUGACGUCUCUAGAAGACAUCUGAAAGAGAUUAAAGAUUUAUCGGUGAUGGAUGGGGAUGCGUCUGAUUAGCUUGUUGGCGGGGUAACGGCCCACCAAGGCGACGAUCAGUAGGGGUUCUGAGAGGAAGGUCCCCCCACAUUGGAACUGAGACACGGUCCAAACUCCUACGGGAGGCAGCAGUGAGGAAUAUUGGUCAAUGGACGAGAGUCUGAACCAGCCAAGUAGCGUGCAGGAAGAAGGUUUUCGGAUUGUAAACUCCUGUCGUUAGGGACGAUAAUGACGGUACCUAACAAGAAAGCACCGGCUAACUACGUG
rnacentral:rRNA from 1 species